AUUGAACGCUGGCGGCAUGCCUAACACAUGCAAGUCGAACGGCAGCACGGCAGUAGCAAUACUGUGGGUGGCGAGUGGCGGACGGGUGAGGAAUACGUCGGAAUCUGCCCAGUCGUGGGGGAUAACUAGCCGAAAGGUUAGCUAAUACCGCAUACGACCGAGAGGUGAAAGCGGGGGACCGCAAGGCCUCGCGCGAUUGGAUGAGCCGACGUCGGAUUAGCUAGUUGGUGGGGUAAAGGCCCACCAAGGCGACGAUCCGUAGCUGGUCUGAGAGGAUGAUCAGCCACACUGGAACUGAGACACGGUCCAGACUCCUACGGGAGGCAGCAGUGGGGAAUAUUGGACAAUGGGGGCAACCCUGAUCCAGCCAUGCCGCGUGUGUGAAGAAGGCCUCGGGUUGUAAGCACUUUGUUGGGUAGAACGGCCGGGUAAGUACCUCGGUUGAUGACGGUACCAACGAAUAAGACACCGGC
rnacentral:rRNA from 1 species